ACGAACGCUGGCGGCGUGCCUAAUACAUGCAAGUCGAACGCUUCUUUCCUCCCGAGUGCUUGCACUCAAUUGGAAAGAGGAGUGGCGGACGGGUGAGUAACACGUGGGUAACCUACCCAUCAGAGGGGGAUAACACUUGGAAACAGGUGCUAAUACCGCAUAACAGUUUAUGCCGCAUGGCAUAAGAGUGAAAGGCGCUUUCGGGUGUCGCUGAUGGAUGGACCCGCGGUGCAUUAGCUAGUUGGUGAGGUAACGGCUCACCAAGGCGACGAUGCAUAGCCGACCUGAGAGGGUGAUCGGCCACACUGGGACUGAGACACGGCCCAGACUCCUACGGGAGGCAGCAGUAGGGAAUCUUCGGCAAUGGACGAAAGUCUGACCGAGCAACGCCGCGUGAGUGAAGAAGGUGUUCGGAUCGUAAAACUCUGUUGUUAGAGAAGAACAAGGACGUUAGUAACUGAACGUCCCCUGACGGUAUCUAACCAGAAAGCCACGGCUAACUACGUG
rnacentral:rRNA from 1 species